rnacentral:rRNA from 2 species
GCUUUGAAGCGUGGACGCCAGUCUGCGUGGAGCCGACCUUGAAAUACCACCCUUUAAUGUUUGAUGUUCUAACGUGGAUCCGUAAUCCGGGUUGCGGACAGUGUCUGGUGGGUAGUUUGACUGGGGCGGUCUCCUCCUAAAGAGUAACGGAGGAGCACGAAGGUUGGCUAAUCCUGGUCGGACAUCAGGAGGUUAGUGCAAUGGCAUAAGCCAGCUUGACUGCGAGCGUGACGGCGCGAGCAGGUGCGAAAGCAGGUCAUAGUGAUCCGGUGGUUCUGAAUGGAAGGGCCAUCGCUCAACGGAUAAAAGGUACUCCGGGGAUAACAGGCUGAUACCGCCCAAGAGUUCAUAUCGACGGCGGUGUUUGGCACCUCGAUGUCGGCUCAUCACAUCCUGGGGCUGAAGUAGGUCCCAAGGGUAUGGCUGUUCGCCAUUUAAAGUGGUACGCGAGCUGGGUUUAGAACGUCGUGAGACAGUUCGGUCCCUAUCUGCCGUGGGCGCUGGAGAACUGAGGGGGGCUGCUCCUAGUACGAGAGGACCGGAGUGGACGCAUCACUGGUGUUCGGGUUGUCAUGCCAAUGGCACUGCCCGGUAGCUAAAUGCGGAAGAGAUAAGUGCUGAAAGCAUCUAAGCACGAAACUUGCCCCGA